CGCCCAUGGACCGCCCACCGUUCACGCGUUUUCUCCUUCCUCCACCAGGCCCAAACCCACUCUACACUACAAGCGCCCGCAUUCCCACAAUUCCUGUUGCGAAUCGGUUUUCGCGGGCACGCACCAGACACCCACAUCACGUCCAAACGGAAGGGGAUGAUGGGAUCGCAGAUGCCAGAUGCCUGAUGGAUGGGUAGGCUUAAGUUGCUCGGAAGAUGAGAUGGAGGGCUGCCCGCCCCGAUGGAUAGUGCACCAGAGAUCUCGGGAACUCCACUGGACCCAUGAGUUUAAUGACACCCAUGAGCCCACGGGCGAACCGCUGAAUGGGGCUGAACAACGGUUGAAGUUGCCGAAAGGCUGGUGGGCUGUGGAUUUCCAAGCACUCCAACAACAACCUAGAGAUCAGAUCACUGAAAAGGUGUAUAAAUCUCCACUAUCUGCAAUGACGACUACCAUGGCCAUCAAUGUUUCCACAGAAAUUUGUUCAAAGGCACUGGGAGAACGCAUAAGACAAAAGCCAAAAGAGCCAAAUCUUUUGCGUUUCUUUUUACACAAUUGAAAAGGCGUCCAUCAUUCACCGCAUCAAAUCCCAAGACCCCAGAACCAUGGAACUCGGCCAGAUAGGGGCCAAAGGGGGAAGGGGAACCUGCACCACAUGACCAUGGCGUCUUUUUUAUUCCCUCGCUCUUUGCUCGCUACAAACUCAAAGAGACGACAGAGAAACGAACGGCAAGCAGGCGCUGCCAGAAGGCGAACCUUGACGGCCAGCCAGCCAGCCAGCGAAAGUGGUAGCCUGGUUCACUAGACUCCCAGAUUGGCUAGUAUUAGGCCUUGAGUAGGACCCUGUAUCUUACUAGGGCCUGUUGGCGUUGCUUCGUGUGUUGCUUGGUGCGCUUUUGAAAGGACCCUUGAUCCUGGAUUGACGACAACUCGGCCAGGGAAUUCAAACUGGAAAGAAACGAAGAGAAAGGACUUCCGACCCUGGACUCUGGCCUGACUCCUGGGCUUGCAUAAGUUGCAGUCGGUAGCAGACAAGAUAUGAAGGAAAGUAUGACAUGAACUUUGAUGCUUGCCUGAAUGUGGAAAGAAUGCCUACGGUAAUGCAUUGAUAUCUUUUCUCAUGUCAAAGAAUCGCUCAAGGCAGGACAAGUUUGAACAUGGACAUGGAGCAUGGGUCAGCCAUGUGAAAUGAAUCGUUCGAACUGUUCGAGGUAUUCUGUCUUGGCGGCGAGGGGGGGUCUUCGAAUUCCGCGAAAUCACCCAAAUCCCCAAUUUACCCACGACAUCACCCUAUGGUCAACGACAAUGAGUGUUCUGGGGUUUCAGGAGAAGAUGAGUGUGACAAGCAUGUGACUGACACGACUUGACGCGCCGGCAAUUCAGGGUGUGAGAACCCGGGCCAGAAAUUGCUUUGGUCAACUGAAUGAUUGACUGGGCAGUCAUGCUUGUUGGUGCCCGUUGAUGCUGCUGGGCUGGUCAAAAUCAUACCCAGAUGGUAUUUUGUGAUCAGAUUACGGGAGUGAGAUAAGGUUUUUACGCUAUAGGCUACGACGUUGCUACGUUACACGGUAACGGCGCUUGAGGGGAAAAAAAGAAAAAAAAAAAGGAAAAAGAAAAA